rnacentral:rRNA from 1 species
AUUGAACGCUGGCGGCAUGCCUUACACAUGCAAGUCGAACGGUAACGGGCCUUCGGGUGCCGACGAGUGGCGAACGGGUGAGUAAUACAUCGGAACGUGCCCGAUCGUGGGGGAUAACGAGGCGAAAGCUUUGCUAAUACCGCAUACGAUCUACGGAUGAAAGCAGGGGACCGCAAGGCCUUGCGCGGACGGAGCGGCCGAUGGCAGAUUAGGUAGUUGGUGGGAUAAAAGCUUACCAAGCCGACGAUCUGUAGCUGGUCUGAGAGGAUGAUCAGCCACACUGGGACUGAGACACGGCCCAGACUCCUACGGGAGGCAGCAGUGGGGAAUUUUGGACAAUGGGCGCAAGCCUGAUCCAGCCAUGCCGCGUGCAGGAUGAAGGCCUUCGGGUUGUAAACUGCUUUUGUACGGAACGAAAAGCCUUCUUUUAAUACAGAAGGGUCAUGACGGUACCGUAAGAAUAAGCACCGGCUAACUACGUG